UCCUCUCAUGCUCCAGGACGAUCUUUCUAGGACGAUCUUAAGCUUUCUAAGCCAAAUUGAAAAGUUGGGACCGGUCAAUUUAUCAUUAUCUAAUAAUGACCUAAGUGACAAUUAAGUGGCCAUUUCUACAAAGAAUGACAACAAAGCCUAAUCAGUAAAUGAAUCAAUAUAAUCAAGAAAUUUGGAUUUUAGUCCAAAGAUCCUUCCACCAUUUUGUACGAAUCAAUAGCCUCUACUUUAAUCCGAAGAAUUACUCCUAAUUCUUUAGUGGGUACCGAAAUCCACAUAGACUACAGAUGGGCCCGAGUGUGUCUCGGCUAACCCAUCUAUUUUUAAGGGUUGGUUCAUAACCAAUUGUUUCACCAAACAACUCCCAGUAAUAUCCUUUUGCCACAGGCCACUUCAGCAGGUGUGUGUCACCUCCACUGAAAAACCUGGUCAGGUCCAACCAUCAACUUGCUGCAAUAAGUUCAUCACAUUAGUAGAUGACCAAGCUCGAGUGUGGCUCGGCUCACCUGACCACCUAUUUAAUGGAUGCAACCGAUUCAACAUUAAUUGAGUGACAAUCCCAAUAGCCGAUGAGCACCAGGCGUGUAUCGCCUCCAAUGAUCAUAAACAUAUUGGACUCAUUAUCAUUUCAACGCAAUGGGAGGCUAUGACACGGUCAUCUUCCAUUAACUGCACCAUUUUUAAGAACCUGAUAAUUUAGAGGAUUUUUAUGAAACAGAAAAAGUUGACUAACCUUGAUCCUCCCACUGACUUCUUCAAAUCAAAGGUUAAUAAGAGCAGGUUUGAGUCAGUGCACCUAAAUCGGUCCGACCGAUUUUCUUAUUUGGCAUGGGUCAACAAGAGUUAAUCAAAGAUCUGAUCAAAAGAGAUUUACCUAGAUGGCCAGGUAAGUGAAAUC
rnacentral:lncRNA from 1 species